rnacentral:rRNA from 1 species
AAUCAACGCUGGCGGCGUGCCUCAGACAUGCAAGUCGAACGAUUAAGACUCCCUUCGGGGAGUGCAUAAAGUGGCGCACGGGUGAGUAACACGUAGGUAAUGUACCUUUGGGUGGGGAAUAACUUAGGGAAACUUAAGCUAAUACCGCAUAAUGCAGCGGCUCGACAUCGAGACAGUUGUUAAAGAUUUAUCGCCUAAAGAGCAGCCUGCGGCAGAUUAGCUAGUUGGUAAGGUAAUGGCUUACCAAGGCUACGAUCUGUAACCGACCUGAGAGGGUGGUCGGUCACACUGACACUGAAUAACGGGUCAGACUCCUACGGGAGGCAGCAGUCGGGAAUUUUGGGCAAUGGGCGCAAGCCUGACCCAGCAACGCCGCGUGAAGGAUGAAGUAUUUCGGUAUGUAAACUUCGUAAGAAUAGGAAGAAUAAAUGACGGUACUAUUUGUAAGGUCCGGCUAACUACGUGCCAGCCGCCGCGGUAAUAC